rnacentral:misc_RNA from 1 species
AUCUUACCAAAAUCGUCACUACCUAUAGUAUACAACUUAUGAUUUGAAAAAUUUUACCAACUCAAUCGUGCAAGAGGGUGCAGACUUCGAUAUCUAUAUAGAAAAAAGAAGCGUAACGAAACUGUGAGUGCACCUUCGCGUCCUGGAUCAACCACUUCUCGCACGAAGUCUCGUCUUUGCCAGCGAAUGCAAUCAAACAUCGCGGUGGAGAUACGAUUGUUGAACCAAGCGUUCGAAGGAGACGUCCCUGGGAGUUUGACGUCAGAACGAUACCACGAAAGCAUUUCGUGGGAAUUUGAAGACUAGAACUCCCGUUAGUCGCGUGUGUGUGGGUACGUACGGGGACCCUGUACACCCCCAGGAGCCACCCCGUUGUUCACCUCCGCCUCAACCAGGGCCCCUUCCAACGUUCAACCCUUCCUUAUUGCAAGUUCUACGGUUCGUGCAUUAAACUAUGGAGUUGCCCAGGCAUCGACCCAGCCCGACCACCUACCAUCUGGAUAUGCGGCCCGCGCGCAUAUACGCUAUGUACAUUUCUAAUCAAGCGAUAUUGUAACUGCGGUCUAACCUCCAAACACCACGGCCUCCAGCAGCGCCUCUAUUCCCGUCUUCCCCGCCACCCCCAACCGCCGACGUCGUUGCUCCCUCCAUACACUCUUCGUUCGGCCUCCUGCACCCUCCCGUUUUAUCUUCUACAACUUUAUCGAGCUUUCUUCAUGAGCUUCAACGAUUUACCAGGCUAAUAAUGUCAGUGGAUGUUUGAACGAGCUGGAAAAUUUGCAGAGGAAGGUUACAGUGGUAAACCUAAAAGAUGAGAUUCUUUUGGAAUUUGUCGGGUCGAUAGGAGAUAUGAACAUGAGAACCAGGGAAUUUAG